AUUGAACGCUGGCGGCAGGCCUAACACAUGCAAGUCGAGCGAGCGGCGGACGGGUGAGUAAUGUCUGGGAACCUGCCUGAUGGAGGGGGAUAACUACUGUAAACGGUAGCUAAUACCGCAUACCAUCAGAUGUGCCCAUAUGGGCUUAGCUGGUAGGUGGGGUAACGGCUCACCUAGGCGACGAUCCCUAGCUGGUCUGAGAGGAUGACCAGCCACCCUGGAACUGAGACACGGUCCAGAAUGCGACGGGAGGCAGCAGUGGGGAAUAUUGCACAAUGGGCGCAAGUCUGAUGCAGCCAGGCGGCGUGUGUGAAGAAGGCCUUCGGGUUGUAAAGCACUUUCAGCGGGGAGGCGUUACCCGCAGAAGAAGCACAGGCUAACUCCGUGCCAGCAGCCGCGGUAAUUC
rnacentral:rRNA from 1 species